UUCGUUAUUGUUUUGUAUUUUGCUAAGUUUCACUUUCUAAUAAAUUAUGUGGAACGCUACUCACGCUGCGCUUUGGUCCGAUCAUUCCAACGAAUGUGACAGGAUAUCCCAUCAAACCAGGACCAAGCAGCGUGUCUGGGAGGAAAUGGCAUCCUGGUCUUUGGAGGAGAUCAGGGAGAAGAUAAGUUGGACCUGGGAGGAAAUAAUGGAAGGACAGUAGAUCCUUCCUUGGCAGGAGUCACAGCAGACGCAAGGAGAGAAGGGAGAACAGAGACGACACCGGGGUUCGCGGCCACAGAGAAAGCCCAAAAGACAGCCCCAAAAAGUUUUUUUGGGGGGGCACAUGGAGUGGUCGGCGGAGCCGAGGAGUGAUUCAGAGACCGAGGAGGAAUAUUGGGACAGAUUGAGCGAGGAAUGGGUGGCGAAAGUUGAGGAGAGUGAUGAGAGAGCUGUUGGUUUGGCGUAGUAUGCACGGCAUUCGCCCUGAGGAGCGUGUUAGCCGUCCGAGGCCACCUGAGUCAGCUCCUCGUACUCGUCCUGAGAAGUGUGUUAAAGUUCUGGUACAAUUGAUGCCGGCUAUACGCACCAGGUCUCCAGUACGCCUUCACAGCCCAGUACGUCCUGUGCCAACUCCCCGUACGGAGUGUGUGACCGGUCAGGCACCAUGUUUUGUGGUGAUACGCACGAUGUCUCCAGUGCGCAUCCACAGCCCGGUACGUUCUGUGCCAGCUCCUCGCACUUGCCGUGCGAAAGUAGGCAUCUGUCCAGGACGCGUUGUGCCAGCUCUACGCUCCAGACCUCCAGUGCGUCUCCACGGUCCAGUAUAUCCUGUGCCUGCUCCCCGCACUCGCCCUGAAGUGCGUGUCACCAGUCUGGUGCCACCUGUCCCGGCUCCACGCACCAUGCCUCCAGUGCGCCUUCACAGUCCAGAGCUUCCGGCGACAGUUCCCAGUCCAGAGCUUCCAGCGACGGCCCACGGUCCGGAACCUCCUGAGACGGCCCACGGUCCGGAACCUCCUGAGAUGGCCCAUGGUCCGGAACAUCCUGAGACGGUCAACGGUCCGGGACCUCCAGCUCCAAGGCCAGAGUCUUCUUCUGCGUUGGUGCCCAGUCUAGGCAAAGCAUCCAGUCUGGGUCCAGGGCUGGAUCCGUAGGAUGAGCGGGUUCUUCGGCCCACAGCAGAGCUGCCCCCGAUGCUGGUGGAUGAGCGGGUUCUUCGUCCCGCACCAGAGCCGCCUCCGAUGCUGGCGGAUCCGCGGGAUGAGAGGGUUCUUCGUCCUGCACC
rnacentral:lncRNA from 1 species